rnacentral:tRNA from 1 species
GGUUAUGGCUCAGCGGAAGAGCGCUCGCCUCGCAAGUGCAAGGUUCUGGGUUUGAUCCUCAGCACCA